rnacentral:sRNA from 1 species
AAAUAAACCCGACAGGAGCGAACGCGUAGUGCAACGAAGUAAAGCGGAUGGCGGGACUAAAG